CUACGGGAGGCUGCAGUGGGGAAUAUUGCACAAUGGGGGAAACCCUGAUGCAGCAACGCCGCGUGGAGGAUGACACAUUUCGGUGCGUAAACUCCUUUUAUAUAGGAAGAUAAUGACGGUACUAUAUGAAUAAGCGCCGGCUAACUCCGUGCCAGCAGCCGCGGUAAUACGGAGGGCGCAAGCGUUACUCGGAAUCACUGGGCGUAAAGAGCGUGUAGGCGGGUAGUUAAGUCAGAAGUGAAAUCCUAUGGCUCAACCAUAGAACUGCUUUUGAAACUGAUUACCUAGAAUAUGGGAGAGGUAGAUGGAAUUUCUGGUGUAGGGGUAAAAUCCGUAGAGAUCAGAAGGAAUACCGAUUGCGAAGGCGAUCUACUGGAACAUUAUUGACGCUGAGACGCGAAAGCGUGGGGAGCAAACAGGAUUAGAUACCCCCGUAGUC
rnacentral:rRNA from 1 species